GUGCAGCAGUCGCGAAUUUUUCACAAUGGGCGAAAGCCUGAUGGAGCGACGCCGCGUGGGGGAUGAAGGGCUUCGGCCCGUAAACCCCUGUCAUUUGCGAACAAACCUUUUCAUUGAACAGAUGAAAAGCUGAUUGUAGCGAAAGAGGAAGGGACGGCUAACUCUGUGCCAGCAGCCGCGGUAAUACAGAGGUCCCAAGCGUUGUUCGGAUUCACUGGGCGUAAAGGGUGCGUAGGUGGUGGGGUAAGUUUGAUGUGAAAUCUCCGAGCUUAACUCGGAAAUGGCAUUGAAUACUACUUUGCUAGAGGGUCGGAGGGGAGACUGGAAUUUUCGGUGUAGCAGUGAAAUGCGUGGAUAUCGAAAGGGAACACCAGUGGCGAAAGCGAGUCUCUGGACGACUCCUGACACUGAGGCACGAAAGCUAGGGGAGCAAACAGGAUUAGAUACCCCUGUAGU
rnacentral:rRNA from 1 species